GGAUGUGACGGUGAUCUGGCUGCAGUAUCUGUCAUCUUAUUUACUCCCAGGAUUGAUUUGGCUGAUCUGGGUGAUUAGGUGGGUCCAUUCCAUGUGCUUCUUUCCUGAACCUGUAUGUUCAGCAGAAGAAAACGUCCAUAGGAGAAGUUUACCAUUCUUCAGUCAAGGGUAUAUGAUAGCUGCAUUCCCCUGCUGGAACCUCCAGACCACAGGAGUAACCUUUAUAGAGAGCAUUGCAACAAUUCCAGCAGAAAUGGAUCAGAAUAUGAGCAACUGAGCUUAAACUAUCCCUC
rnacentral:snRNA from 1 species